rnacentral:rRNA from 1 species
UACGAAGGGUGCAAACGUUGCUCGGAAUUAUUGGGCGUAAAGCGCACGUAGGCGGCUUUGCAAGUCCCAUGUGAAAGCCCACGGCUUAACCGUGGAAGUGCAUGGGAAACUGCAGAGCUUGAGUACUUAAGAGGAUCGCGGAAUUCCCGGUGUAGAGGUGAAAUUCGUAGAUAUCGGGAGGAACACCGGUGGCGAAGGCGGCGACCUGGGUCGAGACUGACGCUGAGGCGCGAAAGCGUGGGAGCAAACAGG